rnacentral:lncRNA from 1 species
UAAUACAUAAAUCAAAUCUAAGUUGGUCAAAAGAGUUUAACCUAACAAAUAACAACUUAUAUUAUGAAUGAAAGGAAUUAAAACAUGCUACUUAUUUUAAGUAUACUAUUGUUAUUAAGUAGCUUCAGCAUCGAGAAGGGUUUGAUCUAUAGCGUUGAGCCUGUGGACACACUACUUUUCCUGACGAUGUCGUCGGGAUAGGCCGUCGAAAAAAGUCGACUUGUCAGACAAAAUUUCUUGUAGUGUCAUUCAUGGACCCUCACCUCUACUAUCUAGCUAUCAUCUUACUAUAUUAGUCAAAUAUAGCUAGCAGUUAUAUUUCAAACAUAUUAAUUUUUCGUGUCGGCAUUAUAGAUGAAUUUUGUUUUUCAAAAAAUGUUAACAAGAAAUCAUUUAAGCUCCGUCGGUAGUGGGGUCCAUGCCAUCUUUAACCAAUCACACCUUUUUUUUUAAGUUUAUCACUUCACCAAGUGUCUAACCAUUGCUAACGCUUUUCAACAUAGUUUAAACACUUAUGACUGAAUAACGUGGCACACUCUCAUUGGUUAAGUUUGAAGUUUAUCACUUUCAAGUGUCUAACCACUCCCUACACGCUAAUGUAUACUAUAUUGCAUUGUGGCAAGUGGCAUUGUGGAGCCCACAAGAACUGCUAAAUGUAUACUAUAGCACGGAUGGGACUAGUCAAAGAGUUGGAAAGGGUUGUACGCGACAGUGAGAUGCCUCAACAAAUUAAAUAUUGAGAUGAGACUUCACCUUUAGAUAUAUGUGCAAAAACAAAUUAAAUAUUGUAAAAUUUGGACAAAAAAUGUAAAAUUUGAACUUAAACGUAGACCAGUCACCAUUCAAAAAUACGCCCA